UUAAGUUAUUAAGGGCGCACGGUGGAUGCCUUGGCACUAGAAGCCGAUGAAGGACGUUACUAACGACGAUAUGCUUUGGGGAGCUGUAAGUAAGCUUUGAUCCAGAGAUUUCCGAAUGGGGAAACCCAGCAUGAGUUAUGUCAUGUUAUCGAUAUGUGAAUACAUAGCAUAUCAGAAGGCACACCCGGAGAACUGAAACAUCUUAGUACCCGGAGGAAGAGAAAGAAAAUUCGAUUCCCUUAGUAGCGGCGAGCGAAACGGGAAGAGCCCAAACCAACAAGCUUGCUUGUUGGGGUUGUAGGACACUCUAUACGGAGUUACAAAGGACGACAUUAGACGAAUCAUCUGGAAAGAUGAAUCAAAGAAGGUAAUAAUCCUGUAGUCGAAAAUGUUGUCUCUCUUGAGUGGAUCCUGAGUACGACGGAGCACGUGAAAUUCCGUCGGAAUCUGGGAGGACCAUCUCCUAAGGCUAAAUACUCUCUAGUGACCGAUAGUGAACCAGUACCGUGAGGGAAAGGUGAAAAGCACCCCGGAAGGGGAGUGAAAUAGAACCUGAAACCGUGUGCUUACAAGUAGUCAGAGCCCGUUAAUGGGUGAUGGCGUGCCUUUUGUAGAAUGAACCGGCGAGUUACGAUUUGAUGCAAGGUUAAGCAGUAAAUGUGGAGCCGUAGCGAAAGCGAGUCUGAAUAGGGCGUUUAGUAUUUGGUCGUAGACCCGAAACCAGGUGAUCUACCCUUGGUCAGGUUGAAGUUCAGGUAACACUGAAUGGAGGACCGAACCGACUUACGUUGAAAAGUGAGCGGAUGAACUGAGGGUAGCGGAGAAAUUCCAAUCGAACCUGGAGAUAGCUGGUUCUCUCCGAAAUAGCUUUAGGGCUAGCCUCAAGUGAUGAUUAUUGGAGGUAGAGCACUGUUUGGACGAGGGGCCCCUCUCGGGUUACCGAAUUCAGACAAACUCCGAAUGCCAAUUAAUUUAACUUGGGAGUCAGAACAUGGGUGAUAAGGUCCGUGUUCGAAAGGGAAACAGCCCAGACCACCAGCUAAGGUCCCAAAAUAUAUGUUAAGUGGAAAAGGAUGUGGCGUUGCCCAGACAACUAGGAUGUUGGCUUAGAAGCAGCCAUCAUUUAAAGAGUGCGUAAUAGCUCACUAGUCGAGUGACACUGCGCCGAAAAUGUACCGGGGCUAAACAUAUUACCGAAGCUGUGGAUUGUCCUUUGGACAAUGGUAGGAGAGCGUUCUAAGGGCGUUGAAGCAUGAUCGUAAGGACAUGUGGAGCGCUUAGAAGUGAGAAUGCCGGUGUGAGUAGCGAAAGACGGGUGAGAAUCCCGUCCACCGAUUGACUAAGGUUUCCAGAGGAAGGCUCGUCCGCUCUGGGUUAGUCGGGUCCUAAGCUGAGGCCGACAGGCGUAGGCGAUGGAUAACAGGUUGAUAUUCCUGUACCACCUAUAAUCGUUUUAAUCGAUGGGGGGACGCAGUAGGAUAGGCGAAGCGUGCGAUUGGAUUGCACGUCUAAGCAGUAAGGCUGAGUAUUAGGCAAAUCCGGUACUCAUUAAGGCUGAGCUGUGAUGGGGAGAAGACAUUGUGUCUUCGAGUCGUUGAUUUCACACUGCCGAGAAAAGCCUCUAGAUAGAAAAUAGGUGCCCGUACCGCAAACCGACACAGGUAGUCAAGAUGAGAAUUCUAAGGUGAGCGAGCGAACUCUCGUUAAGGAACUCGGCAAAAUGACCCCGUAACUUCGGGAGAAGGGGUGCUCUUUAGGGUUAACGCCCAGAAGAGCCGCAGUGAAUAGGCCCAAGCGACUGUUUAUCAAAAACACAGGUCUCUGCUAAACCGUAAGGUGAUGUAUAGGGGCUGACGCCUGCCCGGUGCUGGAAGGUUAAGAGGAGUGGUUAGCUUCUGCGAAGCUACGAAUCGAAGCCCCAGUAAACGGCGGCCGUAACUAUAACGGUCCUAAGGUAGCGAAAUUCCUUGUCGGGUAAGUUCCGACCCGCACGAAAGGCGUAACGAUUUGGGCACUGUCUCAACGAGAGACUCGGUGAAAUCAUAGUACCUGUGAAGAUGCAGGUUACCCGCGACAGGACGGAAAGACCCCGUGGAGCUUUACUGUAGCCUGAUAUUGAAAUUCGGCACAGCUUGUACAGGAUAGGUAGGAGCCUUUGAAACGUGAGCGCUAGCUUACGUGGAGGCGCUGGUGGGAUACUACCCUAGCUGUGUUGGCUUUCUAACCCGCACCACUUAUCGUGGUGGGAGACAGUGUCAGGCGGGCAGUUUGACUGGGGCGGUCGCCUCCUAAAAGGUAACGGAGGCGCUCAAAGGUUCCCUCAGAAUGGUUGGAAAUCAUUCAUAGAGUGUAAAGGCAUAAGGGAGCUUGACUGCGAGACCUACAAGUCGAGCAGGGUCGAAAGACGGACUUAGUGAUCCGGUGGUUCCGCAUGGAAGGGCCAUCGCUCAACGGAUAAAAGCUACCCCGGGGAUAACAGGCUUAUCUCCCCCAAGAGUUCACAUCGACGGGGAGGUUUGGCACCUCGAUGUCGGCUCAUCGCAUCCUGGGGCUGUAGUCGGUCCCAAGGGUUGGGCUGUUCGCCCAUUAAAGCGGUACGCGAGCUGGGUUCAGAACGUCGUGAGACAGUUCGGUCCCUAUCCGUCGUGGGCGUAGGAAAUUUGAGAGGAGCUGUCCUUAGUACGAGAGGACCGGGAUGGACAUACCUCUGGUGUACCAGUUGUCGUGCCAACGGCAUAGCUGGGUAGCUAUGUGUGGACGGGAUAAGUGCUGAAAGCAUCUAAGCAUGAAGCCCCCCUCAAGAUGAGAUUUCCCAACUUCGGUUAUAAGAUCCCUCAAAGAUGAUGAGGUUAAUAGGUUCGAGGUGGAAGCAUGGUGACAUGUGGA
rnacentral:rRNA from 2 species